GUAAAGGUCAAAAACUAUUUGUCAUUAAGAGGUCUGCUUAAUUGAUGGUUUUGAAAAGGCUGUUUGGCACAUUCAAAAAGGUUGCAAACAUACAUUUCCAAGGACACUGUGACCUAGUAGAGUAUUCCGUGGUCUAUGCCCAUCUAAGGUAAACCGUGAAGCCGGUAUUAUACGAUUGCUGUUGCCAUGAGGAUGUGGGCAGAAUGGUGCAUCUUUAGCAGAGCUCCAUACAGGACAAUCAUGAGGAGAGAGAGAGAGGUGCAAGGAGGCAGCCACUGAAGCAGAACAAUAUCUGCACACAGUGCGCAGGCCUUCUGCAUUAACACAAGGCUCCUGCCGCGCAGCGCUUUGCGGCCUAGCAGGCUGUGACCUCCCACAGGCUCAAGAGGAGCUCUUCUUCUUAAAAGCCAGCUGUGCCCUUCUCUCUGCCAGCCAAACACUCCACAGUCCAGCUGUUCAGCUGAGCCCGACAAGGGAUGCCUGGCUAGCUGUUUUAUUCCUACAGUGCUGGUCUAAAGAAAUAAAAGAAGAAUGAAUGGGAACUCCUACACGUAAUGCUCCAAUCAAACAGACCUUGAGCUGAAGAUAACACACUUAUCCAGAGAAAAGGACACAUGCUCUGGACACCAAGCAAGCCAGGACCACCACUCAAAUCAUGGGUGCAUGAUGCCCAUGAUGGUACUCCAGAUGAUCUGAAGAUGUUGGAGCUGUUUUAUCAUCAGACUCUUUGAGGGCCCAGAGGCAGAGACGUAAACAAGAGCAACUGAUCAAGAGAUAGGACGGUUGUCUCUCAGACUGGGACAGAUAAGUUCUACUGAGCCUCCAGAGGGGCAAAGGCUAUUCUGACUGGCACAAUAAGGCAGAUGGAGACACAGGUAGUGCCCAAAUGGAGAUGCAGGGAAACCCUGAAGACCAGACAAAGGCCCUAACAGAGACCAAGCCACUUGCUGCUUGUCUGAUCUGCAUUUGAUUAAACUUUAAACAUGGACACAACAGUGUGCCUGCUCCAAAUGAACAGCAAUAACUUGGUGCACAUCUGACAUCCUCUUGGCUAUUUAAGUAUCACUGAAUUUGAACAUCCUGUCAACAUAUUUUGACGUUCACUAUGAUUUUACCUAUAUUAUCUGUCAAGAACAUAAUCAUGAACCUGGGUUCCAUGUGAAUUCUUGUACUUUCAUUGUAUGACUACUUAUGUGUAGCAGGCAAGUGUGCAUCUUCAGACACAGGGCAAGAUAGGGAUAGCGAAG
ensembl:lncRNA